rnacentral:tRNA from 1 species
GAGGUCUUAGCUUAAUUAAAGUGUCUGAGUUGCAUUCAGGAGAUGUAAUGUGUGGUUUUACAGGCCUU